GUGCAUUCUUUGAUGCUCUCAUGUUAGGAGCCAUUUUGGGUUAGGGUAAUUUCCCGCUAAAGUAAGCGUCGUUACUUUCUCCAUUGCCAUUUUCUUCAGUUUCUCCGAGAGAAAAGCGCUCCACAAAUUCUUUAUCAGAUUGAAACGACAAGGCAAUAUCUUUAGGCUUAAUAAGACCACUGAUGUUCUUGUACAUGGAAAACAUACAGCUCUUCAAGGACUCCCAUUAUUUUUGAGGGAGAAGACUGACAUUCUGCUGAGGACUUGUCUGGAAACAGACCCAGAGGAAAGUUGCACCCAAGGCCUGAAAGUGGGUAUCAUCAUUAUUGUUGAGGAUGAUGUUGCCAUUGUCCAUUCCAACCCCAAUAUUGUCAGAACAGGCAUUGUACUGGAGGAGCAGAUUGUGCUGGAUGAUCUGCCCAAUGCAUUUGCAAACCUGUUUGGUGUACUCUAUGUACUAAAUAUUGAGUAUCCCAGGGAAUUAAAAUAUACUUUUGAGGUGAUUCAAAAGGUGUUUAUGAACCUAGGAUCCCAGUGCUCUGCAAGAGUGCAGUCUCUGAAAAACAAACGUCUGCAGUAAUCACAGAUACCUUUUGAUGCUUGUCAGUUUUAGUUUAAUUAU